AGUGGCGCACGGGUGAGUAACACGUAGAUAACCUACCCCUUAGUUCGGGACAACCCUUCGAAAGGAGGGCUAAUACCGGAUAAAACCAUUUGUCUAAUGACAAUUGGUUGAAAGAUUUAUCGCUAGGGGAUGGGUCUGCGGACCAUUAGCUUGUUGGUAGGGUAAAGGCCUACCAAGGCGACGAUCCGUAGCUGGUCUGA
rnacentral:rRNA from 1 species